GGCCCGUUCGUCUAGGGGUUAGGACAUCAGGUUUUCAUCCUGAAAACAGGGGUUCGAUUCCCCUACGGGCUAC
rnacentral:tRNA from 1 species